rnacentral:lncRNA from 1 species
CAAAAAUUUUCCCAAACUUCUGUAGCAAAAUCUAAAUCAAGCCGGAUAGAAUUGGCAUGAACACCAGACAAGACCUCAAUGUCCAAUGACAACUGAUUAGUUGUAGUUAGAAAUGUCCGAGUCCAAGACCCUCAACAAUGAAGAAAGUCGUCUAACUUUCUCAGAAUGGUUUUUGACAGGAAAGGGAGUAAGGCACAGUUGUUGAAAUCUGGGAUCACAGUCCAAUCGGGUAUGCAACCACAAUCCUUCAACUUCUUUGUUUAGUAAGUCCAUUUGUUGCUGAAAUAUAGCCAAACCAGUUCCAAUGAAUCCUUGUUCUGGAUAAUAAAGUCUCCGCUUGUACACCAAGACACAUCCUGGAGUUCUCUCUGCUGCUCCAAUGUUGGGGUCCCAAUCCAGUCUCCAGAUUCAAGCUAUUCAGGGAUAGCAGCAGAUCUUCCUCCGGAGCACCGUCGCUACCUUCGACCUGGGUCCGGGAUUGCAUAUCCUCAUCCUUUCAGGUCCCUGUUCGGGCCCCACUUGUCGUGAGCCGCGACGUCAGGAUCCUGCCAGCAGGUCCUAAACCUGAAAGGAUGAGGACAGAGAGACGGAAGGCACCUUUCUUCUCAUGUUGCUUGCUUGCUUUAUUACAGAACCUCUCCUUUUUAUACUCUCCAGCUGCAUGGAAGCGAGGGCUGCACGGGAGCGAGGGAGCGAGGGUACCGCCCACACAUUCCAGAGGGAAACAACAACCAUUAUGGGUUACAUCUGCUACUAGCUGAACUCGCCCGUGGCUAUGGGCGAGAGCACCUCUGUGCCAGCGAGGUGACUCAAAGUUCAAUCAUGGCUAGGCCUGUGUCAAGGCUCACCGUAAUGGCUCGCCAUACAUCCCGAAGGGCUGGACUUUCCAGGGACCUAGUUCUACUUCUGCCCUGCCCUUGGACCAG